UGUAUAAUGGGUCAGCGACUUAUAUUCUGUAGCAAGGUUAACCGAAUAGGGGAGCCGAAGGGAAACCGAGUCUUAACUGGGCGUUAAGUUGCAGGGUAUAGACCCGAAACCCGGUGAUCUAGCCAUGGGCAGGUUGAAGGUUGGGUAACACUAACUGGAGGACCGAACCGACUAAUGUUGAAAAAUUAGCGGAUGACUUGUGGCUGGGGGUGAAAGGCCAAUCAAACCGGGAGAUAGCUGGUUCUCCCC
rnacentral:rRNA from 1 species